rnacentral:misc_RNA from 1 species
GAUGAAGAACGUAGCGAAAUGCGAUAAGUAAUGUGAAUUGCAGAAUUCAGUGAAUCAUCGAAUCUUUGAACGCACAUUGCGCCCGCCAGUAUUCUGGCGGGCAUGCCUGUUCGAGCGUCAUUACAACCCUCAGGCCCCCGGGCCUGGCGCUGGGGAUCGGCGGAAGCCCCCUGUGGGCACACGCCGUCCCUCAAAUACAGUGGCGGUCCCGCCGCAGCUUCCAUUGCGUAGUAGCUAACACCUCGCAACGGGAGAGCGGCGCGGCCAUGCCGUAAAACACCCAACUUCUGAAUGUUGACCUCGAAUCAGGUAGGAAUACCCCGCUGAACUUAAGCAUAUCAAUAAGCGGAGGA